CCCCCCUCACUCCCUCCCUCCGUCUCAUCACCGAGGCGUUUUAUCAUCUCAUGUCAUUACAAGUAGAAGGUUGAGCUCCUGGCACGGACCAGCCACUAUUCUAGGAACUAUGGAGGCAAACAUAAGACAGAUAUUCUCCACGUUUAGAAGACAGACAGAAUGAUUUCUCAAAGUGAGGUUCCCCGGAGACUUGCCUCAGAUUCAUCAGGGAGAAGCUACAAGACAGGUUCAUGGGUCCUACCCCACACCAGAUCAAUCAGAGUCU